GGGAUGUUAAUAUAGAGCAAGGUGUAUCAUAACUAACGUUCAAAUGGUUGAAAUGUGUUUGGGGCAGUCGUUUCGGAAGAGACUUACUGGUCUGCAAGCAAUAAAAGGGUCCUGGGGUUGAAGACUUCAAAGGUAGGAGAUGAUUUUCUUUUGGUUCUUGUGAAGCCAUCACCAUGCAUUUUAAGAUUGUUAUUGUGCUGCGACAGGCAUUUAUCACUUUGGAAUGGACAAACUUGGAAGUUCUGAGUUGCUAGUGCAUUUGGCUAGAUGAAGUGCUGAGUUGCUAGUGCAUUUGGCUAGAUGAAGUGCUGAGUUGCUAGUGCAUUUGGCUAGAUGAAGUGCUGAGUUGCUAGUGCAUUUGGCUAGAUGAAGUGCUGAGUUGCUAGUGCAUUUGGCUAGAUGAAGUGCUGAGUUGCUAGUGCAUUUGGCUAGAUGAAGUGCUGAGUUGCUAGUGCAUUUGGCUAGAUGAAGUGCUGAGUUGCUAGUGCAUUUGGCUAGAUGAAGUGCUGAGUUGCUAGUGCAUUUGGCUAGAUGGAGUGCUGAGUUGCUAGUGCAUUUGGCUAGAUGGAAGUGCUGAGUUGCUAGUGCAUUUGGCUAGAUUUUCUUUGGCUGCGACAGGCAUUUAUCACAUUGGAAUGGACAAACUUAUAGUGCUGAGUUGCUAGUGCAUUUGGCUAGAUAGAAGUGCUGAGUUGCUAGUGCAGUUGCGAUUUCUUAAUGUGUACUGUGAAGAUUGUCUACAUGAGCAACUUCAAAUCUCCAAGGCUGACGCAUGGACAGUCCCUCUUCUGGCUGUGACCCCAGGAUUGAAGAUCACCAAAGGUAGGAAACUUAAAUUGUACAGUAAGCUCAGAUUCUGAACUGUUUUUUUCUGCAGGUGAAAGAAUUCUGGGGUUGAAGAUCUUCUAAAGGUAAGGAACAUUUCAUACUUUUUGCCAAUUCACUGCUUAUACUAAAGUGACAUUGUCAGAGCAUUUACUAGAGGAUCACUUCAGGAACAGAAAUGGAUGUAACUUUCAGUGUAUUUGUCCAAGCUGUAGCCUUGUCAUGCUGUUUAAUCCUGAUAAUGGACUUGAAUCUGCACCGUUAAGGCUGCUUUUAAUUUCAAAUAUCAUUUGACUUGGUAUGCGUUUCACUGUAGCUGAAAAUGUGCAUUUUUAUGCAGACUCUAAGAUUGGCAAAUUCUGUGACGUGUACAACUAAAUAGGGAAUUGCUGGCUCUUGGUUUUAUUUGGAUAGGGUAAGUUUCUGGAGGUAGGUAGCUGCAAUUGAAUUAGACUAACAAGUCAAACAUUUGUUUAGCUUGGAAUAUGCUGAUAAUGGUUUAUCACUAAGGAAUGGCACCUUCAGGAAGUCACAUGACUGCUCACUAGCUUAUAAAUUUCAUGGUACCUUCGUCGUAUUUGAUCUCUUAUGAUCAGGACUAAAAGAGCUUAUAACAGUUCAUUCCGUGUGCAUCCAUGUAGGAUUUUAUUCUGUUUCUGUGUCUGACCUAGAGGCUGGCAUGCAUCUCAUCUGUAGUUGUAUGGUGAUGGAUACAGCAAAACUGAAUUUGACUUGGGGUGGUGGCAUUUUACAGGAUGUUUCUGUAACUAAUCUUUUACAUAAAUGGCAGCAAGAGGACCCCAGGACUGAAGGCAAAAUCUGUCAAAGGAGAAGUACCAAAGGUAGGUAACUCUUAUUUAAUAUAUGCAUCCUUGUUUCCUGCUCUGAAGGAAUGUUUAAAUGUGGCAAUGUAUUGUGAUUUUAUCGUAGCUAAUCUUUAAGCUAGCACUCAAUCUGAGCAUGGUUAGCAUGUCAGGCUUGUUACUUUAGUUCUGUUUGGUAUACAUAGCCAUAAUUGAAAUACCUAGACUCUGGCAGGCUGCAUCAAUGACCAAGUUUGAGUGCGCUUAUUCUAUGAAAUUGACUUCAGCUGAAGUCAGUUUUAUAGGGUGAAGGUGCUCAGUAAGUGAUGUGGCAGUUAAUUUUAUGUUAAUUGACAGUAAUGUAGAGCUGCAAUGUUUGCAUCUUAAUGUCUCCCUUGGGAGUGGCCUGUCCAAAUGGUGCUGUUUUGGUCUAGAAAUUUCUAGUAGCUGGUAUGUUUGUGGCAUUUGUUAGCAAAUCUUUGAGUGCAUGUAAGGAACCAACUGCUGCUGGUUAUAGACUUUUUUAGCAGGCUUAAUACUAUCCUGUAAAACCAUUCCAUAAUUUUAUUACUGUAUCUACCUAUCUGUACUUGGUAUUCAAUUGUGUGCUUUUUUAUUUUCAUGUAAGUUUGUCUUGACGGUUGUGUCACAUUUGGAGCUUUUCUCCCCAGGCCUCUGCUGAAAAUGGGUUCCUGACCCAGUCGGACUUUCCCAAUAAAUGUUCAGUUCUGGCAUAUUUCUUCCCCUCGUAAAUGGCAUGACGGUUGUGUGUCAUUUGGAGCUUUUCUCCCCAGGCCUCUGCUGAAAAUGGGUUCCUGACCCAGUCGGACUUUCCCAAUAAAUGUUCAGUUCUGGCAUAUUUCUUCCCCUCGUAAAUGGCAUCACAGGUAGCCAUGAUUUCUGGUGAGCUGGCAAACUAAAAAAUGUUUCUAACAUCAGAAGUAACAUUUUUGCAGUGAGCAAACUCAAAGCCUCUUAAACUUGUGUAUAUCAUCUUGGCCGAUUUUUAGUUAAGUGAUCUCCUCUUCAUGUUCAUCAAAAUUACUUUAAAUUACCAUCACUGUUCCCAUAAACCAAGGCAGUAAGCAUUAAACCUCUCCUGAUAGAAUACAUUUACCUUUUAGGAAGAUGCAGUAGAAACCUUUCAGUUGAAUGCACAGUUUUAUCUUCGUUAAGCACUUUUUAGUAAAGUAUAACCAGAUAUCCUAUUUGCUACAGGGAUGCACAUCUCUAUAGUAUAAGGUUGUGAUGGGCUAGAGCUUCACAGGUGCACAGCCAGUAGUAGGCAAUAUCUUCAAUGAUCACAUAAUAGGUUGGAUGGGGUAGAGUGAAAGGGCCUUGUAGAACAAAUGAGCGGAAAUGGCAUUUUGCUAGUUGUAUUUAUCUAGGAGUAGGGGUGAUGGUGAAUACACUGGACUUGACUGAAGGCUAAAUGGCAUGACCCAGAAUCCAUGAGGGAUUUGGGUCAUACCAUCCUAUAUAAGGGAUGAGGGAUUUUCUUUCUGUCCAUUUAACAACCCUUACUGCAGUUAUGUUCAGUUGUAAAAUGAAUUUCCCUGUAAAAAUUGUGUGGUUAAGUACUACAUUUUGUUCCAUGCUGCUUAUACUGUUAGUAAUUUUUGCAGAGUUGCCUUGAUACUGUGAAUAAAGUUUGUGAACCACUGUGAAUAAAGUUUGUGAACCACUGUGAAUAAAGUUUGUGAACCACUGUUGAAUAAAGUUUGUGAACCACUGUUGAAUAAAGUUUGUGAACCACUGUUGAAUAAA